CAGSAUAUACGAACAACAACGGCGGUAAUCUCCUCUACCUCACCUCAGAUUCUUUCACAUCUCUCUCCUUCCCCUUCCCCUUUCUCUCCUCCUCUUUCUUCUUCCCGCUUUCCUCUAUUUUCCGUUCCUCUUGGCCAUAGCCGAUACAACUCGUUGCAGCGGCUAAUUCCGUUCCUUCUUCUCCACCGAUAUUCGGUUCUCGACUUCUCUCCAAAAUCAAAAUAUUGCCCGAAAAGCCCCCCCUUCCCCUCCAACGGCUACUUAGAAAACUGGGUAUUUAAACCAGUGCGAGUGAGUGAAUGAAAGAACAAGCACAUCUCUUCUUUAACUCAGAUCUCAUUAUCCCUUUCCGACACUCUCCACUUGCACAACUUCCGAGCAAAGGUCCGAGAAGAUGGAAUAGCAACCCCUAUCAGUGGUCCGCCACAACAACGAAGACGAUGACGAAUUCUAUGAGAACAUCAAAGCCCCAAGUUUGUGGAUUUCAGUACACCUGAUCUAUCACGCCCGGACGAUCGUUUCUCGUUUUGUUUGCAUGUUGACUCCGUUUGUACUCCUUGGUCCUGGUUUUGAUUACUUUCAGAACUGACAAACUUAUGAUGCGAUCAAAACCAUGAGGAAGACCUGGAUCCCAAUACCCUUUACAGAAAUUUUGUGCUUCGGGUCAUGGCAGCAAGAAGCCCCAACUUGAAACUGCAAAAGGCAUUAAGUAGACAAGUUCCACGUGCAAAUGCGAAAUGCCCGCUUUCAGCACCAGCAAAAUCUUCCAAGAGUAGAAUAUCAAGAUUGGCCUCUGCAACGAGUUGUAGAAAGUGAUGACAAAGAAAAUGAUUUAUCUGCUGAUAAUAACAGGUUUAGCUGCUGCAACGACUUGUGCGGCUAUGGCCGAGAGGAAUGGAAAAUAGAGGAAAGCGGGAAAGAAGAAAGAGGAGGAGAGAAAGGGGAAGGGGAAGAAGAGAGAUCGGGGGGAGAGAGAGAAGUGUGAAUAAAUCUGAGUUAGAGGGGAUUACUGCYAUUCGUAUAUCUAAGGUUGGGGAAGAUGAACAGUAUUUUUCAGGGUAGUAUGGGGAUUAAAAAAUAUUGCAUCCGCCUUUUCAGACCGAAGGCUAACGGAAAUGGUCUUUGUCGCAAAUCAAAGUAUAGCGAGGUCUUUGUCACAGACCCCAUAGUAUAGGGGGAAUCUUGGUAAUUCAUAAAAAAUUUAUGCUAUUGCUGCCCGAGCAUCGAAUUCAGCAAAAAAUUUAUACCCUAAUUUGUGUUUGAGUGUUUAUUUGACAUGUAAAAAAGUAAUCAAGAAAUAAAAAAUGUAUUUUUUGA